rnacentral:rRNA from 1 species
CCUACGGGUGGCAGCAGUGGGGAAUAUUGCGCAAUGGGGGCAACCCUGACGCAGCAACGCCGCGUGAUUGAAGAAGGCCUUCGGGUUGUAAAGAUCUUUAAUCAGGGACGAAAAAUGACGGUACCUGAAGAAUAAGCUCCGGCUAACUACGUGCCAGCAGCCGCGGUAAUACGUAGGGAGCAAGCGUUGUUCGGAAUGACUGGGCGUAAAGGGUGCGUAGGCGGUUGUACAAGUUAGAGGUGAAAUACCCAGGGCUUAACUCGGGUGCUGCUUCUAAAACUGUAUGACUUGAGUGCAGUAGAGGUUAGUGGAAUUCCUAGUGUAGCGGUGGAAUGCGUAGAUAUUAGGAGGAACACCAGAGGCGAAGGCGGCUAACUGGACUGCAACUGACGCUGAGGCACGAAAGUGUGGGGAGCAAACAGGAUUAGAUACCCUAGUAGUC